CACUUAGCAAGUGUUGUGGUUGAAUCAUAUGUGUGUUGAACUUACAUUACGAUUCCUGAUAGAGAAAUUCAAAUUUGGGCUGUUUUAUGUGACAGACAGAAGUGUGAACGUCUACAACAUUUCUGUUAUCAAAGAAAAGAAAAUAGGACAGUUGGCCCAGGUAACCAGUCGGCCUGAUCUUGACAGUAAGUAUGGCUGGGUUGAAAUCAAUUGUCCCAGUACAAAAAGACCAAAGACACUUGCAGCUAAGCUACUGCUGAUUGGAGAUGUAUACAAAGAUAUGGUGGAGGGGGAAAAAAAAGCUUUUCUGCAAGGAAAAGACAUAUGGAGCACUGCAAAAAGAGGGCAACAAAUGAAGAGAAGUGCAUCUCUAGAUGCCAAAAACUUAACUAUGGAGCUGUGCAGGCCAACCAAGACCAAGAAUCCAAGGCUUUCUCAGGCAGCAAAAGCCCAGGCUGCGGAGGACCUUAAGGCUACCCUGAUUGAAAAAAAGGCCAUCAAAAGCACACAGCCUCUGGAUGAAACUGACAUGGACCUGGCUGAGCAGGAAAGUCCACAAGAUGACAGUGCAAGUUGCUUGAUUUUAAAAAGUUCUUUAAACUAAAAUUUUCACAUUUGCCUCAGUGUAUUUUACUGUUAUGCAAACAUUAUAGUUGGUGCAAAUAUCCUUGUCCAUAUGUCUUAUCGGUUUGUUAAAAUUACUCAAAUCUGUAUCAUUGUCUUUUAAAUUCCAGUUACUUCAGUAUGAGGGGGAGGGCAAUAGCCACAGAGUAAGUCCAGUACUGGACACUGUAAUGGUGCAACUUGAUAAAUCAGUCAUUGCAGCUCUUAAUGGUAGAUAGGCUAUCCAUAAGAAGUUGCUUGCCUUCUGAUAUAGUUUUCGUGUUUGUCAUUAAUUAACUUUUUCACAUAAAAUUAAACUAGAAUUGCCAGCAUUUGUAAGGUCUUUGAAGGAAGUUACAGAAGUUAUUCUUGGUGGCUCUGAAACUUUCCCCAGAACAACAUCAAUUUUUUCCACCCCUGGAACCUCAUCAUUGCUGGACAGUGAGAUUGAAAUGAUUUCCCUGGCUCAGAGUAAAGUUUUGGUCCCAAAAAAAGCCUACCAUAGGCUCAACAGAGCAAGAAUGAGCAUCUUUGCUCAGGAGCUUGCCGUUUUAGUAUUCUCAAAGGAAACUCUACAAGAAUCCACUCUCACAGGAAAGUUUCGGCCAGGUGACCCACCAAAAAAGCAACUUGAAAAGGAAAAGGUGCAUGCCUUAACAGAUGCCGUUAUGGCAGAAUUUCCUAACACCACUCCAGCGGAUGUGCGAAAUUGUCUACAAGUGCAACAAUGAGCAAUUUGCAAAUAAAAGAAAGGUUUAAUUAGUGGAAUGUAUUUUGUGACUUUUGUGAUUACAUGUACAAUAAAAUGUACUUGCACACUACAUUACUUGCAUAAUAAAUGGCUGUGCACAUUGUU